GCAGUCACGCCGUUUGUGACUGAAACCUCACAGUUGUGAGUGCAAAACACAUGAAGAAGGAAUAAUCGAUG
rnacentral:sRNA from 13 species